rnacentral:rRNA from 1 species
GGAUGAACGCUGGCGGCGUGCCUAACACAUGCAAGUCGAACGGAGAUUAACGCUGAUGAGGCUUCGGCGGAUUCUUGUUAAAUCUUAGUGGCGGACGGGUGAGUAACGGCGUGGGCAACCUGCCUCAUACUGGGGGAUAGCAGUUGGAAACGACUGAUAAUACCGCAUAAGCGCACAGAGUCGCAUGACUCAGUGUGGAAAACUCCGGUGGUAUGAGAUGGGCCCGCGUCAGAUUAGCUAGUUGGUAAGGUAACGGCUUACCAAGGCGACGAUCUGUAGCCGGACUGAGAGGUCGGACGGCCACAUUGGGACUGAGACACGGCCCAAACUCCUACGGGAGGCAGCAGUGGGGGAUAUUGCACAAUGGAGGAAACUCUGAUGCAGCGACGCCGCGUGAAGUGAAGAAGUAUUUCGGUAUGUAAAGCUCUAUCAGCAGGGAAGAAAGACUCGCAAGAGAGAUGACGGUACCUGACUAAGAAGCCCCGGCUAACUACGUGCCAGCCGCCGC